UACGUAGGGUGCGAGCGUUGUCCGGAAUUAUUGGGCGUAAAGCGCAUGUAGGCGGGAUGUUAAGUCGCGUGUGAAAGCCCCAGGCUCAACCUGGGAAGUGCGCGCGAAACUGGCAACCUUGAGUGCUGGAGAGGGUGGCGGAAUUCCCGGUGUAGAGGUGAAAUUCGUAGAUAUCGGGAGGAACACCAGAGGCGAAGGCGGCCACCUGGACAGACACUGACGCUGAGACGCGAAAGCGUGGGGAGCAAACAGG
rnacentral:rRNA from 1 species